UGGUAUACUGAUAAAACCCCAACUCGUACGACUACCACAUAUGAUCUGUAUUCUCAUUAAUCGACGCUUUUUAGUUGUUGGCCUUUAGGCAAUAACGACAUUCUCACACUUGUAGCUAUGAAUGUCGGUUGUUCAGUCUGCUUUUGAAGUCCACCAUUUGAUCUGUUACCGAAAAUCCAGCUGGUUUAUUACAUUGCAAAAGAGUAAUAUUUUAUAACGGAACAAUGAAGAUUUGACAGUAUUUAAAAUUAUUUUGAUCUGAUAAACUAAUUCUGAUUGAUAUUAAUUGACCAACAACAUUAUCGUUCAAAAUGCAAAAAAUUAUAUUAGUAUUAUUUCCAUUAUUUUAUGGCGAACUAUGUAUGAGUAUUGAUCCAUUAGCUGAUAAAUAUGGAGAACUUAUUUUUGCAUCUAUAAUAUAUAGACAUGGUGAUCGGUCAAUCAAUCAUGAAUCUUAUCCUACAGAUCCUUAUAGAAAUGCAUCUUAUUGGUCAGUCGGUUAUGGACAACUAACAAAUAAAGGAAAAGAAAGACAUUAUUUACUUGGCAAGUGGUUGAGAAAUAGAUAUAGUGACUUAUUGCCUGCAAUAUAUUCACUCGAUGAUAUCUAUAUACACAGUACAAAUAUAGAUCGUGCUUUGAUGAGUGCUGGUGCAAAUCUAGCUGGUUUAUAUCCACCACAAAAAGAUCAAAUUUGGAAUGGUGAAAUAGGACACGUAUGGCAACCAAUUCCUAUUCAUUCUUUAUCGCCAAUGGAAGAUAAAAUUUUGACAUUUGGAGAUAACUGUCCUCGUUACAUAGAAGAAUUUCAUAAACUAAUGAACUCUUCAGAAAUACAAAAUUAUCACAAAAAUCAUACAGAACUCUAUAAUUAUGUGAAAGAGCAUUCUGGACUUGAAAUGAAGAAUCCAAUUUAUGAUUUACAAUUUCUUUAUGAUGUAUUAUUAGUUGAGACGGAAUAUAACUACACACUACCUAAUUGGACAGAGAGUGUGUACCCAGAUAAAUUACAAGAAGUUGCUGAACUGUCAUUUAAACUGCAGACUUAUACUCCAUUAUUAAAAAAAUUGAACUAUGGUAUGCUAAUAAAAGAAAUAGUAAAUCACAUGGAACUAAAAAGUAACAACACAUUGAUACCAGACCGAAAGCUUUGGGUUUAUUCUGCUCAUGACACUAUAAUAGCUGGAAUAUUAAAUACUUUAAAUGUAUACGAUGGCAAGUUGCCAGCAUAUGCUUCAACAGUUUUGUUUGAAUUAAGGAAAAUGAAGAAUUCUAAAACCUUUGUUGUUACUGUAUCAUAUAAAAAUUCAAGUAAUCAUGAACCAUAUUUGCUUCAAAUUCCUGGUUGUGACUCUGUUGCUUGUGAGUUAAGCCAGUUUUCUAAAGCUGUCUCACCUUACACGUCUAUUAACUGGUAUAAAGAGUGUCAUAAUAAUAUAAUAGAUAACACUCAUUUAUUAUAUUAUGGAGGAAUGGUUGUAAUAUUUCUAAUUUUGAUCUCCAUUUUGAUUUAUAUUAUCAACAAAAAGUAUAUAUUUUGCUAUUGCGGAAGAGACUAUCAGAAAUCAUGACUAUAUUUUGGUAUUGCUUCCGAUGUUGCGUAGAGGGACAAAAUUUUAAGUAUUUUAUUUAAUAUUAUGGUUGAAACAUAUUUCAAAUUAAUUUUUUCAUCCCAUGCAGAUAGUAAUUUCAAUGACUCAUUAAAGUGGUAAUAAGUGUAAUAACUUACAUGAGAAGUAUUAUUUCUUCAAUUAUUUUUAGAUAAAACCAUUGAUAUUUCUCGAGUUAGUUGUAGAAUAUUGAAUCUUAUUUACUUUGUACUAUUCAUGAUUGAUUGCCAUUUUUGAAUUAUGUUUAAAUUAUACUAAAUAUUUAUUAUAAUAGAAAUUAAUUUUAAUCGGACUUAUAAAUACAAUUUUUAAUUAUUUAAUAUAAUUUUAAAUUAUUUGUUUUAUUAAUCUAAUUAUUUUAUUUUAUUUAAUUUUCCUGGAAUUUUUUAUAAGAAAUAAUUGUAAAGUUUUGUUUCAACUUCCAAAUUGUUUUUAUUUAUAAUUUAAGUGUAAUUAUUUAUUUUUUAUAGAAUAAAUAAAUUAAAACAUAAUUUCAAGACUGGUUA